rnacentral:rRNA from 1 species
UGGGGAAUAUUGGACAAUGGGCGCAAGCCUGAUCCAGCCAUGCCGCGUGAGUGAUGACGGCCUUCGGGUUGUAAAGCUCUUUUGUCCGGGAAGAUAAUGACUGUACCGGAAGAAUAAGCCCCGGCAAACUUCGUGCC